ACUUGAGAGUUGAGACUUGAGUCAAAUUAUUUCUGGUUGGAUACGGAAUUGGCAAGAAACAAAGUAGAUGGGGUCCGCAUGAAGCAUCAUUCACAUGUGAAGCAUCCCCAAACCCCAACAAUUCGCUCUGAGUUCCGAUGUCCAACGCCGACGAAGACAACGGCGAAGCUGAGGGAAGGCUCCGAAUGAGACCUUCAAACAGCAAUAUCUCCGACGACCAAGAACCAUUCAUGGGAAUCAAGGUCCGACGCAAGGCCUCUCUUUUCAGAGAAUACCUCGGUGACUAUAUCGACGUCCCUUCUCACCCUUUUCUCCUCAAGAUUCUGCAGAAACAAGGGGACAAGAGAGUUCUGUUUGCGGAUAAAGUGUUGAGGGUAACUGGUUCAGGGAAGAUGAAACGGUGCGUUUUGAUGAUUACUGAUUUGGCAAUUUACCUUGUUGACCCUGAGAUCGAUGCCCUUAAACGACGGGUAUCGCUUGCGGCGGUUGAGAAGAUUUGUCUGAGUGAGCUGAGUGAUAAUUUUUUUGCAAUUAUUAUUCCUACGGAGUACGAUUUGCUCAUGGCCAGCACUAGAAAGACUGAGAUUGUUACUGUCAUGGUUGAGGCUUCUAAGAAUGCAUCUGAUUUUGAGCUUGAGGUUGCUUUUUCCAAUAGGGUCGUUGGGCUUUCACCAUUAAAGACCAUUCUCGGAGCUUGAGGUCCUCAAUUGGAUUUUCUUAAGGUUCGAGUAUAAUGCAGCAUCAGAUUUGGUGAAGGAAAUUCAAUUUGAGCAAGUUCAAGGGGGUGUCAAAACAAGAAUUUUGAGGAAGUGAACUGAGGUUCGUAUUUCCACUUUGCGGUCUGUAAUAUAGAUGUACGAUUGAGUGUUGUGCCAUUAGAUAUUUGUGUCAAGGUUGAGAUCCACCUUAAUUUUGAUGUGUAAAAGAAUAUAAUGAGUGAAAGGUAUAUGUGAUCUGAGUUUUCAACUUGAAACCAUAUUCUGUGUUGUAUCCGUUGUGUUUAUUUUUGUAGCUAAUAUGAUAUGAUGAUUUAUUGUGGAA